rnacentral:lncRNA from 1 species
UGCAUUUCAGGUAAAAGGUCCUGCUUUUGUUUAGCAGCCCUACUGAGACAUCUUCCUCUUUCUACAGUAAUCCUGUAUGUACAGCUCUUUUUUGCUUUUUUUUUUUUUUUUAGAUCUCAAACUCAACUUGAAAAACUGGAAUAUGCAUUGACUAGGGAGCCAUACCUUAAGGCUUUCACUACUGGACAAAUAACAAAUCCCUAAGAAUAAUGACAUCAUCAUAGCUGAAGCUCAUAACUCAGACGUAUCCUGGAAGAUCCUGGGAGGAACAUGAAUGUCAGAGAACAGCAUGAGAAGACAUAAAAAACAUAAUUUUCUGUUGAAAGUCUUUCACAAUUAGUAAUAAAUCAUUAUGAAGGGAAAUGAGGAAGGGUUGUCUGGAAUAAAUAAUUAUUUGAGCAGAGGAGGAGAUAUGCCACACUUCUCCUUUCAGUCUUUUAUAUAUAUAUAUUAUACAUAUUUAUUUUACAUAUAUUUAUAUAAAAUAUAUAAAUUUAUAAAUAUAUAUAUAUAAAUCCAACUGAGAUAUUUUAUCAAAAUUCUGAAAUUCAAGCUUAUUAUGCCAAAGAAAUAAAUUGUUGAAUUCAGAACUUUCUGAUACAAAAUUAUUCUAAGUUUUUGGGUUCCUACAUUUUCUGCAUUUAUAUCUUUUUCCUCACUUUCAACUCCUUUUGUCCCUGGCUCCAGAUAUUAUACAGCUACUUUCUUUCAUCUGAAGGGGAACAAUGGAAGAAAAGGUGUAUGAAAAAGUGAUGGCAAUUUUUUAUUUUUAUUUCCAGCUUUUCUGCACCAGAAUAAUUCUUGUUACUGUAUUAAAUAGGAAGAAUCUAAGUAUUAAGACAGAGAUCUGGAGGAAAAAAAACCAAGAAAACUGAAACAAUUAUUUUAGUCAAUGUUUGGAAAAACAUGAUAAUUGAAAAAAAAAAAUUAGAAGAGUGCUCAUAUUUGAUGGUCUUAUUUUUUCAGAACAGUCUCUUAUAUUGACUUAAUGAUGUCCACUGGAAUUGAAACAACAGUGCCUACACAAGGGACUUACUCUCUUUAAUUGCAUCAGUUGAAAGUGAUUCAAUUUUUUGGUCAGAGAUGAACACAGGAAAAUGGAAAAAUAAAUGUGU